AGGAGAGUUACUGCCUUAACUCCGGGAAACCGGACCUAAUACCGGAUAGUUCCUUGAACCGCACGGUUCAAGGAUGAAAGACGGUUUCGGCUGUCACUUACAGAUGGACCCGCGGCGCAUUAGCUAGUUGGUGGGGUAAUGGCUCACCAAGGCGACGAUGCGUAGCCGACCUGAGAGGGUGAUCGGCCACACUGGGACUGAGACACGGCCCAGACUCCUACGGGAGGCAGCAGUAGGGAAUCUUCCGCAAUGGACGAAAGUCUGACGGAGCAACGCCGCGUGAGUGAUGAAGGUUUUCGGAUCGUAAAGCUCUGUUGUUAGGGAAGAACAAGUGCGAGAGUAACUGCUCGCACCUUGACGGUACCUAACCAGAAAGCCACGGCUAACUACGUGCCAGCAGCCGCGGUAAUACGUAGGUGGCAAGCGUUGUCCGGAAUUAUUGGGCGUAAAGGGCUCGCAGGCGGUUUCUUAAGUCUGAUGUGAAAGCCCCCGGCUCAACCGGGGAGGGUCAUUGGAAACUGGGAAACUUGAGUGCAGAAGAGGAGAGUGGAAUUCCACGUGUAGCGGUGAAAUGCGUAGAGAUGUGGAGGAACACCAGUGGCGAAGGCGACUCUCUGGUCUGUAACUGACGCUGAGGAGCGAAAGCGUGGGGAGCGAACAGGAUUAGAUACCCUGGUAGUCCACGCCGUAAACGAUGAGUGCUAAGUGUUAGGGGGUUUCCGCCCCUUAGUGCUGCAGCUAACGCAUUAAGCACUCCGCCUGGGGAGUACGGUCGCAAGACUGAAACUCAAAGGAAUUGACGGGGGCCCGCACAAGCGGUGGAGCAUGUGGUUUAUUUCAAAGCACGCGAACACCUUACCAUGUCUUGACAUCCUCUGAC
rnacentral:rRNA from 1 species